rnacentral:lncRNA from 1 species
AUCAACCGCCCCAUUUUACAGAUGGGAAAACUAGGGCUUAGAAAGUUUAGAUAAUUUUUAUUUGUCCCAGGUUAUGCUAUCAGUAAGCAGUGGAGCCCCCCCACCUUUUUUAACCAAAGCAGUUUGCUCUCUUUACCAAUACUUCAUGUUGCCCGAACUAAUGUAUUCAGGGACCUUACCCAAGAGUAAAGUGUAAGGUCUGUAAGAUGGAGAUAAGGAUGGUAUCUUCCUCAGAGAGCUAGUGCGAGGAUUAAUUGACUGUUUAUAUGUAAAGCACUUACAAGAGGACUUGGCCCUUGAUAAGUAGUCAGUAGAGGUAAAUUGUUAUUGUUUGAUGAUAUUAUUAUUAUUACCAUUAUUAUGAGUACUGCUGCUGCUUGUUCUAUUACUUCAUUGCCAGGAAGAGGGCCCUGUGCACAGUAGAAAGUCAUAAAAAGUCAUAAAUUGCCAGUGAGUGAAUGAAUGGGUAACUGAACGAUGCUCUUUCCAUUCUUUUUUUUUUUUAAUUAAAGUAUAGUUGAUGUACGGUGUCGUGUUAGUUUGUGGUGUAUAGCAAAGUGAUUUAUUUCUUUUUCCAUUCCUCAAGGUAGGGGACCGGGUGAUGGUGUUGAUCCGGUCAGGCAUGUGGCAGGAGGAAGUGACUGUGCCUUCAGCCCAUACCUUUCUGAUGCCUGAGGCUAUGACCUUUGAAGAAGCUGCUGCCUUGCUGGUCAAUUAUAUCACAGCCUACAUGGUCCUCUUUGACUUUGGCAACCUACGGCCUGGCCACAGCGUCUUGGGGGUGUGGGGAUGGCUGCCCUGCAGCUGUGCCGUACAGUGGAGAAUGUGACGGUGUUUGGAACGGCCUCAGCCAGCAAGCAUGAGGUGCUAAAGGAGAACGGAGUCACACACCCCAUCGACUACCACACGACUGACUACGUAGAGGAGAUCAAGAAGAUCUCCCCCAAAGGAGUGGACAUCGUCAUGGACCCUCUGGGUGGGUCAGAUACUGCCAAGGGCUACAACCUCCUCAAACCCAUGGGCAAAGUGAUCAUUUAUGGAAUGGCCAACUUGCUGACAGGUCCCAAGCGGAACCUGAUGGCCCUGGCGCGCACGUGGUGGAAUCAGUUCAGCGUGUCGGCUCUGCAGCUGCUGCCGGCCAACCGAGCUGUGUGCGGCUUCCACCUGGGCUACCUGGACGGCGAGGUGGAGCUGGUCAGUGGUGUGGUGGCCCGCCUCGUGGCUCUGUACAACCAGGGCCACAUCAAACCCCGUAUCGACUCCGUGUGGCCCUUUGAGAAGGUGGCGGAUGCCAUGAGGCAGAUGCAGGAGAAGAAGAACAUAGGCAAAGUCCUCCUAGUGCCUGGACCGGAGAAGGAGAACUAGGCUGGGGGCUGGGAGACCCCUGGGGCCCGGGAAGAGAGAAGCUGGGAAGCCAUGUGCUGUUGGCCACCAGAUCCUCGCAGUUCAUCCUCCAUCACAAUGCGCUGCCCUCUCUUCCCCAAAGGUCUCCGUGGUGAUGACAGCCCCCCAACCCCCAACCUGUUCUCUCUCUUUAGUCAGGGCCUCCCCCUCCCCCCUUCCUGCCCUCCAAAGGGGUUGGGAAGUGACCACUUGGAUGUCUGGGCCCUUCCAAGGGGACAGGGAGGGUCAGAGGGAGGCUGGCCGCUUCCUGCUCCCACCCUUUCCCCCCGGGCCUGCUGUGCUGCUUUUGUGCCAAGGUUAGCCAAUCCCUUCCCGUCCAGUUCCGGUGUGCUUCCGUCUCCGCCUCAUCUCCCCUCCUGCCCCUGCCCCACACCUCCCCAAAGAAUCGAAAUGUCAGCUCAGGAUAUGGGGCCAGUCUGUGUGAAUCCAGCAUGUCCCUCUGUCGCCCCUAGUGUCCCUUCGACUUGGGCCAGCCAGCGCCCACCUUGUCCCAUGGCCUCGUCCUCGUGUCUCCAACUUCUUGAGCACAAUCGGGCUUCUCCCACCUCCAGAUGUCCUGCCGCUCUCAACCAGGGGUACCUCUUCCAGCAGGGGUGGAAGUCAGCUCUGCUCCCCUAGGUCACCGCUCUGUGGGAGGGACAUGGAGGCCCCUCACCCUUCACUGAGUUCUCUGGAUUUGUUCUCAGUGCCUUAGCAGCGGAAACCUUGCUAGGGUAUGUGGGGCUCCCUGUCUCACACCCCCGUUCCCCUGUCCUCCCCAGUGCCUUCCUUGUUCUGCUGGAGCUGGGGUUUUGCUGCUCCCCAGUCCCACAACACUGCCAAAAAUCUGCGUGUGUGCCGGUGGGCCCGUGCCAUGUCCUGUCUCUGGGGCUGUCGUUUCUCUGUGGUGGUUGAGGAGAAAGAGGCGGGGAAGCUUUCUCAGCCUUGCAGCUAAGUGUGGCAUUUACCAGCCAGAGCUCUGAGAGGCAAUGCCAUCUGUCUCUUAUUCUGGGACCAAAGUAAAAAUCAAAGCACAUUCCCCAUGUAGUCAAGGGAGGCCCACUGCCUUCUCAGAGCAGGGAGGCAGCUUUUCAAACUCAGCCCCAAACUUUGUUUACAUGGGUGGGGAGAUGGAACAGGGGAUCAAAACAGGGGUUUAGGACCUGGGCCACUGGAACCAAAGUGGAGACUUCCAGGGGGUAGGGGCCUGAGUCCCUCAGCUCUUGGAUCUGGAAUUAGGGAGGGUUAGUGCCCGAGCCAUUGCCAAUGGGAGGGAGGGGAGGGGCCCCGCCCAACAUCGUCUGAAUGAGGCCUGAACGUGUGAAGUUCGAGUUUCGGCUUUUGUGUACCCACCCCCAUUACCGAAGCUGCCUUUGUGUUUGUGUCAAUAAAAAGCCAAACCCU